AUCGCAGGCUGNAACCCGCCUGCGUGAAGUUGGAAUCGCUAGUAAUCGCGGAUCAGCAUGCCGCGGUGAAUACGUUCCCGGGCCUUGUACACACCGCCCGUCACACCAUGAGAGUCGGGAACACCCGAAGUCCGUAGCCUAACAGCAAUGGGGGCGCGGCCGAAGGUGGGUUCGAUAAUUGGGGUGAAGUCGUAACAAGGUAUC
rnacentral:rRNA from 1 species